rnacentral:rRNA from 1 species
UUUCACUUCCAACUUGCCUCCCCGGCCUGAGAGGGUGACCGGCCACACUGGGACUGAGACACGGCCCAGACUCCUACGGGAGGCAGCAGUGGGGAAUAUUGCACAAUGGGCGCAAGCCUGAUGCAGCGACGCCGCGUGAGGGAUGACGGCCUUCGGGUUGUAAACCUCUGUUAGCAGGGAAGAAGAGAAAUUGACGGUACCUGCAGAGAAAGCCACGGCUAACUACGUGCCAGCAGCCGCGGUAAAACGUAGGUGGCAAGCGUUGUCCGGAAUUACUGGGUGUAAAGGGAGCGCAGGCGGGGAGGCAAGUUGGAAGUGAAA